rnacentral:rRNA from 1 species
AAGGCUGUCUUGAAAACGAAAGUGAUUAGAGCGCCUGCCCAUUUUAUACAAACAUUAAAGUAACAAACGUAGUCUUAUUAUAAUCUAAUAAAACUUUCAACAACGGACCUCUUGGCUCUCGCAUCGAUGAAGAACGCAGCGAAAUGCGAUAAGUAAUGUGAAUUGCAGAAUUCAGUGAAUCAUCGAAUCUUUGAACGCACCUUGCGCUCUUUGGUAUUCCGAAGAGCAUGCCUGUUUGAGUGUCAUGAAAAUAUCAACCUUGACUUGGGUUUAGUGCUCUUGUCUUGGCUUGGAUUUGGCUGCUUGCCGCUCGAAAGAGUCGGCUCAGCUUAAAAGUAUUAGCUGGAUCUGUCUUUGAGACUUGGUUUGACUUGGCGUAAUAAGUUAUUUCGCUGAGGACAAUCUUCGGAUUGGCCGAGUUUCUGGGACGUUUGUCCGCUUUCUAAUACAAGUUCUAGCUUGCUAGACAUGACUUUUUUAUUAUCUGGCCUCAAAUCAGGUAGGACUACCCGCUGAACUUAAGCAUAUCAAUAAGCGGAGGAAAAGAAACUAACAAGGAUUCCCCUAGUAACGGCGAGUGAAGCGGGAAGAGCUCAAAUUUGAAAUCUGGUGGCCUCAGGCUAUCCGAGUUGUAAUCUAUAGAAACAUUUUCCGCGUUGGCCCAUGUACAAGUCUCUUGGA